AUUGAACGCUGGCGGCAGGCCUAACACAUGCAAGUCGAACGAGCGGCGGACGGGUGAGUAAUGUCUGGGAAUCUGCCCGAUGGAGGGGGAUAACUACUGGAAACGUUGGCUAAUACCGCAUACUAUCGGAUGCGCCCAUAUGGGAUUAGCUAGGAGGUGGGGUAAAGGCUCACCUAGGCGACGAUCCCUAGCUGGUCUGAGAGGAUGACCAGCAACACUGGAACGGAGACACGGUCCAGACUCCUACGGGAGGCAGAAGUGGGGAAUAUUGCACAAUGGGCGCAAGCCUGAUGCAGCCAUGCCGCGUGUAUGAAGAAGGCCUUCGGGGUGUAAAGUACUUUCAGCGAGGAGGCGUUACUCGCAGAAGAAGCACCGGCUAACUCCGUGCCAGCAGCCGCGGUAAUAC
rnacentral:rRNA from 1 species